rnacentral:lncRNA from 1 species
UUCAGAACAAACCGCAGGCAGUAGAGGAUGAAAUCUUCUGACUCAGAUAAGGUUAAUCUAUCAAACAGAAGUUUCUUACCAAUAUUAAGAUAGCUAAUGUUGUCACUCGCUUGCUCCAGUGGGAAGUUGGGUGCGAAACUGUAUGAGAAUUGUCAUCUGUGUUCAGAAAUCAAUUGUGGUACUCUUAUUUGUUUCAUUACUUGCUAUAUUACAGACAAAAGUUAAAAAUGAGUACUCAUGAAAGUGUUUGUUCAAAGACAACUACUAAAGUUAUUGCUGUAAAGUUACCUCUAGAAUUGCUGUUUUCUUUUUGAUGUGAUUCGUCAAACCUGCAGAAGCAAAUGAAUAUGAUGAUAAAAAAUGUACCUUGGACCUAAACUGCAAAACCAAGUCUCCCAUCAACUAUCGAUGUGGGAGUCUUGACAUACAGAAGCUAGCUCAUAAAGAGUGAAAACAUGUAUUUUCCCUUUCAUAUUGGUUUGGUUGGUUAUUGACAAUAAAAAGUAUUUGUUCCCUUCCUUUAAAAUAAAAAAUAAGAUGGAUAAAUUAAAAUGGAGGGAGGGAGUAAUAUUGUCAAGUUGACCAGUAAGGCUCAAUGAUGUAGGGGAAGAGUCCGCAGCCAGACAUUUUGCCUUUGUUUUUCUAUAUUCAAAAAUCAUACGCAUUAUUCAACACGCGACUUGGCCAACCGGUGCACGCACCCGGAUUGGUUAUAUUCGGAAUGGCCCUCUCUGGAUUCUCCUUGUCCAAAACAACAACACCAUUCCUCACCAAUCUUCCCCAUCCGCCACCGAAAAAUGCCCAACGCGCAUCGGCCUUUCUCAUGCCUAUAACAGAUCUGACUUUAACACAAAUCCGCACCCUCCAUCUGUUCCGAUUCCAUCACCCUAGAUUCCUAUCCAGCCGUAAUAUCGCUGCACUCAAAACUCCGAUGGCUGAGGAAGCGAUUAACAAGGCCACCAUAAAGUCAACGGUGGAUAACAAGAGUACCGUAGAGUCAGCGAUGAAUAACAUAACGGAAUCGGAGAAGAAGAAUGAGGAAGAAUCAAAGGUUACGAUUCCGCCGCCGCCGGAGAAGCCGUUGCCGGACGAUUGUUGCGGGAGUGGAUGUGUUAGAUGCGUGUGGGACAUGUAUUAUGAAGAACUCGAGGAAUACAAUAAGCUUUACAAGAGUAAUCCAGAUGUUAAGUCUUCUUAGAUUGGUUUGGAAAGACUAGGAUUCAUAUAAUUGAUUGCAUCUGUUCAUAUGAAUUGUUGUUUGUUAAAGUAUAUUCGUGGAAUCACUGAUGACAGAUUUAUGAGCAGGCACGUACUGUAAACAAAUUGAAACUUCGUAAACUAAACAUUUAUUUUUCUACUCUUAAUUUCUUGGUUAUCUUCCUUGUGGCUUGGAAACUAGUUUUGGCAAAUAUUGUUAGCAAGAUAGGAAAGCAACUUGUAAUUUUUUUGAUACUUGCGUAACAAAGAUUAAAUUGAUGUAGUAUAACUAUAACGCGAAGCCAAGGCAGAUUGCGUGUAAAAGAUCUUGUGUUGAACUCACCUCUGUUUUAGACGGCUAGGGACUGCUAGACUCCCAGCGUUGUUGACCUCAAAUUGACAAAUUCUUCAUCAAAUGGGUCAUAAAAUGUUCAAUUUAUCUACAAAAUCAUAGGGGUUGAGAAUAACUCAAGUAAUAAGUCAUAGUAUUGCAUAUAAUUACUAAAAAAAUCACAAGAAAAAAAGUUGAAAUAUUUUAAGAGUUGUGAAUGAUUUCUCGGGUUCCGUUAUAGGGCCAAAAAGUCCAUUCUAUGUUCGAGUGCUAAAUAAUUACACGUUAGCUCUGAAAAGUCUACAUUCUAAUAUGUGUUUGGGUU